rfam:Frankia sp. EAN1pec, complete genome.
GCCUCGGGAACCUGCUGCGGGCAGAUGAAGUGGACGUGGGUGUCGACCGCGCCCGCGGUGAGGAUCUUCCCGUUGCCCGCGAUGAUCUCGGUGCCGGGGCCGAUCACCAGAUCCGGGUGGACGCCGUCCAUGGUGUCGGGGUUGCCGGCCUUGCCCAGCGCGCUGAUCCGUCCGUCCCGGAUGCCGACGUCGGCCUUGACGACUCCCCAGUGGUCGAGCACGACCGCACCGGUGAUCACCAGGUCGGGUGCGCCCUGCGCGCGGGUGGCGCGGGCCUGGCCCAUCGACUCGCGGAU